rnacentral:misc_RNA from 1 species
AACCGGUUUUCGGGUACGGCCCGGUCGGGGUGGGUUUAAUGUAAUUCGCCGAUUAACCAUUAGAUUAAGAAUUCAUGUCUACUCUGCACAUAGCAGAAACAACACAGAACACUCUCACCCAUGUGGACAAAGAAUAACCAACCAAUCUUGUUCCCCAAUAAAGGAAGUUUCCAUUCCAAAAUCAACUUAUAAAUCAAGGCCAACUUGUAUAUUAGUGAUCAAUCAUGGCUUUCUGUUCCAUUUUCAAACAACUAAAGAAAUGACUGAGCCUGGGUGAUAAGCUAGACUGUAAAAGUAAAGUGGGCUCAACCAAG